CACGGUAGGGCGCAAGCGUUGUCCGGAAUUAUUGGGCGUAAAGAGCUCGUAGGCGGUCUGUUGCGUCCGCUGUGAAAACUCGGGCUUAACCCCGAGCCUGCAGGUGGAUACGGGCAGACUAGAGGUAGGUAGGGGAGAAUGGAAGUUCCCGGUGUAGCGGUGAAAUGCGCAGAUAUCGGGAGAACGACCGGUGGCGAAGGGCGGUUCUCUGGGCCUUACCUGACGCUGAGGAGCGAAAGCGUGGGGAGCGAACAGG
rnacentral:rRNA from 1 species